CUUGAUGGUAGUGUAUUGGACUACCAUGGCUUUUACGGGUUAACGGGGGAUUAGGGUUCGACACCGGAGAGGGAGCCUGAGAAACGGCUACCACUUCUACGGAAGGCAGUAGGCGCGUAAAUUACCCAAUCCUAAUUCAGGGAGGUAGUGACAAGAAAUAAUAGACCGGCGUAAGCCGGGUUUACAAUGAGCCUAAUUUACACAGCUUAGUGAGGAUCCAUUGGAGGGCAAGUCUGGUGCCAGCAGCCGCGGUAAUUCCAGCUCCAAUAGCAUAUAUUAAAAUUGCUGCAGUUAAAAAGCUCGUAGUUGGAUUUCUGUGAGACUUGUUUUGUUCGGCCUGCGGGUCGGGCGAAUCACUUUUCACAUCCUUCUGUUAACCUUACACUCCUUCACCGGUGUGUCUGUGGGCUCAGAUACUUUACCUUGAGUAAAUUAGAGUGUUUCAGGCAAGCUUUCGCUUGAAUACAUUAGCAUGGAAUAAUAGAAAAGGACUUCGUUUCAUUUCAUUGGUUAUGAGCGGAGUAAUGAUUAAUAGGGAUAGUUGGGGGC
rnacentral:rRNA from 1 species